UUCUCCUGCAAAAAGACAAGUACAUGCAAAGAUUGAUGUAUUAAUGCGAGCAUGCCAAUAAAAGCGUGUAUAUAUGUAAGGUAUAUGGAUAUACAUAUGUCUGUUCAAAGGAUCGCCGUUUCGUUUUGGUAAAAUGUUAUGUGAUUGCUUUCGUAAUAAAACAUUUCAAAGCACCAUAAAUAUGCACAUACUAAAACAACUUUGUAUGCAAAGGAUUGAGGGUAAUAAGCACGUCGCAGGAAUUCAUAAAAUGCUAAAAUUUUUAAAAAAGAUGUUAAACGAUUUUAUUGCAGCAUAAAUACAGCCAAUUUGAAUGUAGCCGAUGGCCUUAAGUUUAUGCCGAUUUUAUUGGAAUAGAGAAUUCUUAUUCUUUUGGUUUUACGAAAUGAUGUACGUAGGUAUAUGCCAUUAAAAGAGAGAGAAACCAAAAACUUAACAUAUAUGUAAGUUCGAAGAUCUCAUUCAAAGUAAAAACUGCAAGUUUAGAAGCCAAUUGAACAAACCUGAACUAUCUCAAAAUAUUGAUUAGAAUAUGUGACAUUUCUUAUCUCAAUAACGGAACAUUAAUUUACUUAAAUAUUUACUGGAACACUAAGCUGAUGAGACGAGUUGGAAAUCUGUGGAUUCCUAAAAUUUAAUCAUAAACUGUUUCUCAACAAAACAACGCAUUGAAAUAUUGUCACUUUACAAGGAAAACGGGUUUCAGUUGAAAUCAAAUUGAGGCCCAUUCUGCACCGUCUAAGCAAAUUGGAGCAAUGGUAUAAAAGAAAACUGAUAUGAUCCCUAAACUGCCAUUUUCUGAUCAAAAAGUGACAGUUUGCUUCCACAUUUGCAGCAAAUAAGCAAAAUCUAAAGAUACUUGGCGCACCUUUAAAGAAAAGUUAUUCGGAUUCUGUGCAUGUUUUCGCAGUUAAUAAAGUAGUGAGCUUCAGUGUUUAGACAAUUGAUUAGCAUCCCCCGUAAAAAUACUUGCACGACCGCAUAUACUGAAUAUUUCAUGCUGUAUCCUUUUUACUUCAUACGCACCCACUCCUUCGCUCCAGCAUAAAUAGCAGCAAUAAGGAAAGUGGAAAAAAUGUCAACAAUUUCAAAGUCAACAGAGCUGCCGAAGGAAUUCAUGCGCCUUGUGGCGCUCCAUUGACCUAAUUUGCCUGCAGAGUUUCUUAGACAGCACUGAGCGUGGAGUAUAUGGGUUGUCAAAGGCUAAGAGCGUAGCGCCAGAGAGAUAGUCUCGUUGUCUGAGAGAAAGAGAGCGUUGAUUUUUCUCACUAUACAAGCAACCCGUCACAGCAUAUAGUUUUCAAGGAAGAGCUUUUGCAACCUGUUUGCAUUUUUCCUUGAUACUUUUUUCACCUUGUUCAUCUCGGAUUUGCCUAUGUCCUUCUGUUGAUAGCUUUCCAUGGCCUUCCACAAGGUUAUGGACUUUGGUGUGUGCGUGUGUGUGAGUGCACUUGAGUGAGUUGAGGGUGUAGUGGUGGUGUGCGUGUAGCUGCUGCUAGGUCCAAAAAAUGGGCGGACAAAGUGCUGAGACGCAGCUACUUGUGACACUUCAAGUUGGUGUUAAUGUAUGUUGUUGUUAUUGUUGUGCUUUCUUACUUUGGCCCGUACCAGCCUUGUGUGUGUGUGUUUUCUUUUGUCCUUUUUGCUGGCAAUUAAGCUAAAUGUCCUGGCGCUUUAUGCGUGGCAUGUUUAUUAUGUGUGUAAGAAUGAAUAAAUUUGAAUAUAUAUUUGUUUAUCCUAUAUGUCCAUAUAGACACUUAUGUAUAUAAUAUAUGUAUAUGUAUGUAUGUAUAAAGUAAAUAAAUAAAUAUAGAAAUAUAUGAACGACGAUAGAACACUUUGUCUUUUUGUGAGUACUUCAAAGCUUUCUCUCUCGCUCCGCUCUCUCUUGCGAAUAGUGCUUAGUAUGGAGCUCAAGGUUAUCAGGUCAAGUAUUUAAAAAUGGGACAUACGCUUUGCAAAGUAGAACAUUUGUGAAUUUGAAAAAAAUUGAAUUAAUUGCAGUGGCAAAUGUAGUUCGUUCGGAUGAAGCUCGGGAAAUAAGUGCCCUUUGACAUUGAAAUACUUUAGUAACAAAUUAAGUCAUGAUUUACAACAUUCACUAACACUUUUUUUAUUCAUUUCAGACUUAAUGUGAUACGAAUUCCAUAUAAUUUGUACUAAUUGCUCUAUUUCUUGAAGUCAAACCUUUGGAAUGGAUAAUUUUAUGGAACCAACAUCACCUGACCAUGAUGAAGCUAUGUAUAUCACAAGUCACUUAUCCCGAGGCAAGAUAUAAAAAAACAACCAAAAAUUAAAAGCAUAACCAAUAUUGUUAACUAAACAAUACAUAACCUAUAUGAAUUCCGCAAAGACCUAACCGUCCUUUUGGUACUAAACUAGAUAUCCAACCUAUUUAGCAGCUCUCUGAAUUCUUGAAAUAGUCAGUCGAUUUGAGUAUGGGAUUUCAUGUGUAUAGUGAAAACUCUUGGGUUCGAGAUGCGUUUCGUCGUUACAAGAUUCAUGUUUCUUUUAAUUCACACCCAGAACAAUACAAGAACCGAUAAAUACACUGCGCAAGUAAGAUCUACGUAGUAUCUGUCGCGGAGAUCAGCCCCGAAAUCUAACCAAACGCACUAAUCUGAUAGUCAAACUACGAAUCAGAAUUGUUAACAUGCUCAAUAGAGAAAUCUGCUCGAAGACAAGCAGCAUAGACUUUAAGACAAUAUAUUUACUUUAUUUUCUAUUUCUCUUAGGAAAGGCCAAAACUUUUAAUGUACACUGUAGCGCGAGAUAAAUAUUCGUAAGAGCUUUUUUGUACCGUGUUGUUAUAAAGCUCUUGAGAAUAUGUUGCUGCUACAAAAAAAACACAAAGAGGAUUUUCGUAGUAACUCUCUAAAAACGGCUAAGCGCAAGGCACAAAGAGAUUAAAGAAAGUUAUUGCAUGAAAAACUUUAAAAGAAGCAGGUUGCGCAGAGAAGGAAGAAGACACAGAGGGUGUUGAAAGAGGCGAAGCUACAGAAAAACUUAAAGAAGUAGCAGAAGUUGGAGCAGAAAAAAUGCAAAUGUAAAUAAAAAAAUCAACAAAACCAAAUCAACAGCAGCAGCCUUCAAAAUUUCCGCCACUUUGCAGAAGCAUUAAGCGGGGAAACGUGGGUGCUGAAGAAAAUAUACGUGUGGUGUAAAGUAUAAAUAACAGCAUAAAUGUUUUACGAAAUAAGCGUAAAAGUAGACCAAAUUUCACUGUCAAUAACAUUUAAGUGUCGGAAAAAAUCUUGAAAUUUUGGUAGUUUAUGUAUCAGGUGAGAAAUGCCAUUGAUUGAGGUAGCUUCCCAGUCCCCAAUGGAAUAAUAAAUUAUGGGGACAGGCAAUCGAAAGAUUAGAUUUGGAACUAUUGAAGCCGACGCAACUCAAUCGUGUCUAUCUUUUUCUUCGGCAUUUUCUUUUUCUUGCUUUGCUCGUCAAAAUAAUCUGCCCCAUUUAUCUUCACUCCACUAUGUACGCAGUCUAACGUUUAAAUAUGGCAUAAUUUGCUUGAAUUAGAAUAAAAAAGUUGUAAAACAUAUUAUGAGAUAAUCAGUAAGAGGAAUAUGGUUUACGAAUAUGUUGUUGUUUAAUGUAAGCGAAUGUUGUGUACCAAGAUGGUGUACAUUCACAGAGUGGCAUUCGAUAUGCAAUAUCGUAUUUAUUAUACCAAGGUAUCUUAUCUAUUGGUUAUUUAGGGUCUUAUCAAAUCUUAGAAAUGUUUUCAAAAAUAAAUCAAAUAAAAAAAUAAACGCAAAUUUUUUUCUACAUGAAGUAAAACAAGA